CAGCAGCCGCGGGAAUACGUAGGGUGCGAGCGUUAAUCGGAAUUACUGGGCGUAAAGCGUGCGCAGGCGGUUGUGUAAGACAGGUGUGAAAUCCCCGGGCUUAACCUGGGAACUGCGCUUGUGACUGCACAGCUAGAGUAUGGCAGAGGGGGGUGGAAUUCCACGUGUAGCGGUGAAAUGCGUAGAGAUGUGGAGGAACACCGACGGCGAAGGCAGCCCCCUGGGCCAAUACUGACGCUCAUGCACGAAAGCGUGGGGAGCAAACAGGAUUAGAUACCCCAGUAGUCCCUGUCUCUUAUAC
rnacentral:rRNA from 1 species